UACGAAGGGGGCUAGCGUUGCUCGGAAUCACUGGGCGUAAAGAGCUCGUAGGCGGUGUGUCGCGUCGGCCGUGAAAACUGUGGCUUAACUAUGGGCUUGCGGUCGAUACGGGCAUCACUGGAGUUCGGCAGGGGAGACUGGAAUUCCUGGUGUAGCGGUGAAAUGCGCAGAUAUCAGGAGGAACACCGGUGGCGAAGGCGGGUCUCUGGGCCGAUACUGACGCUGGAGGAGCGAAAAGCGU
rnacentral:rRNA from 1 species